CAAUACUGACAAUAUAAGAAUAAACUGGAUUCAAUGCUAAACUAUUUGACUGACUAUUUGUUGUAUUUGUCGGAGUUCCGGUACGUGACAUCUUAACCGUUUUGUUAGAGGCUGAUAUUUAAAAAACUGUGGGUCCUGUCAGAAUCAGAAUAUAGUUAUUCAGAUUAUUAUCAACCCAAGGGAAUACAAAAUGCAAAGAAAUAUUUUUUACCCAGCAGCUUUCUCGGUGUUCAAGGGUUAAAACGUGUGUGCCCCCGUUCCAUGGACCUGUUCACGUCUGGGGGUGGGCGUGUAUUCCUUUCCGAUUGGCCAUGCAAGUGACGUCACAUGUCGAGAAAUUCCCUUCUCGUUGAAGAAAUGGAGAACAAUGAUGGAGUUCUAUGGAGACCACCACGUAGCUGUAGUGAAUACUGGAGUGAGUUUAAACACUGUAAAAGCUUGAGGAACCGUUUUCAACACUACUAUGCCCAUG